rnacentral:rRNA from 1 species
AUUGAACGCUGGCGGCAGGCCUAACACAUGCAAGUCGAGCGGCAGCGCGGGGGCAACCCUGGCGGCGAGCGGCGAACGGGUGAGUAAUACAUGGGAAUCUGCCUGGUAGUGGGGGAUAACUCUGGGAAACUAGAGGUAAUACCGCAUACGUCCUACGGGAGAAAGGGGGGGAUCUUCGGACCUCUCGCUAUCAGAGGAGCCCAUGUCCGAUUAGCUAGUUGGUGAGGUAAAGGCUCACCAAGGCGACGAUCGGUAACUGGUCUGAGAGGAUGGUCAGUCACACUGGAACUGAGACACGGUCCAGACUCCUACGGGAGGCAGCAGUGGGGAAUAUUGGACAAUGGGGGGCAACCCUGAUCCAGCCAUGCCGCGUGUGUGAAGAAGGCCUUCGG